rnacentral:SRP_RNA from 1 species
GCCGGGUGUGGUGGCUCACGCCUGUAAUCCCAGCACUUUGGGAGGCCGAGGCGGGUGGAUCACCUGAGGUCAGGAGUUCAAGACCAGCCUGGCCAACAUGGUGAAACCCCAUCUCUA